rnacentral:rRNA from 1 species
ACGAACGCUGGCGGCACGCUUAACACAUGCAAGUCGAACGAGAGAAGAGAAGCUUGCUUUUCUGAUCUAGUGGCGGACGGGUGAGUAACACGUGAGCAAUCUGCCUUUCAGAGGGGGAUACCGAUUGGAAACGAUCGUUAAUACCGCAUAAUAUAAUUGAACCGCAUGAUUUGAUUAUCAAAGAUUUAUCGCUGAAAGAUGAGCUCGCGUCUGAUUAGCUAGUUGGUAAGGUAACGGCUUACCAAGGCGACGAUCAGUAGCCGGACUGAGAGGUUGAUCGGCCACAUUGGGACUGAGACACGGCCCAGACUCCUACGGGAGGCAGCAGUGGGGAAUAUUGCACAAUGGAGGAAACUCUGAUGCAGCGAUGCCGCGUGAGGGAAGAAGGUUUUAGGAUUGUAAACCUCUGUCUUCAGGGACGAAAAAAGACGGUACCUGAGGAGGAAGCUCCGGCUAACUACGUGCCAGCAGCCGCGGUAAUACGUAGGGAGCGAGCGUUGUCCGGAAUUACUGGGUGUAAAGGGAGCGUAGGCGGGAUCGCAAGUCAGAUGUGAAAACUAUGGGCUUAACCCAUAAACUGCAUUUGAAACUGUGGUUCUUGAGUGAAGUAGAGGUAAGCGGAAUUCCUAGUGUAGCGGUGAAAUGCGUAGAUAUUAGGAGGAACAUCAGUGGCGAAGGCGGCUUACUGGGCUUUAACUGACGCUGAGGCUCGAAAGCGUGGGGAGCAAACAGGAUUAGAUACCCUGGUAGUCCACGCCGUAAAUGAUGAUUACUAGGUGUGGGGGGACUGACCCCUUCCGUGCCGCAGCAAACGCAAUAAGUAAUCCACCUGGGGAGUACGACCGCAAGGUUGAAACCCAAAGGAAUUGACGGGGGCCCGCACAAGCAGUGGAGUAUGUGGAUUAAUUCGAAGCAACGCGAAGAACCUUACCAGGUCUUGACAUCGUAUGCAUAGCUCAGAGAUGAGUGAAAUCUCUUCGGAGACAUAUAGACAGGUGGUGCAUGGUUGUCGUCAGCUCGUGUCGUGAGAUGUUGGGUUAAGUCCCGCAACGAGCGCAACCCUUACUGUUAGUUGCUACGCAAGAGCACUCUAGCAGGACUGCCGUUGACAAAACGGAGGAAGGUGGGGAUGACGUCAAAUCAUCAUGCCCCUUAUGACCUGGGCCUCACACGUACUACAAUGGCUGUUAACAGAGGGAUGCAAAGCCGCGAGGUGGAGCGAACCCCUAAAAGCAGUCUUAGUUCGGAUUGUAGGCUGCAACCCGCCUACAUGAAGUCGGAAUUGCUAGUAAUCGCAGAUCAGCAUGCUGCGGUGAAUACGUUCCCGGGCCUUGUACACACCGCCCGUCACGCCAUGGGAGUCGGUAACACCCGAAGCCUGUAGUCUAACCGCAAGGAGGACGCAGUCGAAGGUGGGAUUGAUGACUGGGGUG